rnacentral:rRNA from 1 species
GAUGAACACUGGCGGCGUGCCUAAUACAUGCAAGUCGAGCGAACGGACGAGAAGCUUGCUUCUCUGAUGUUAGCGGCGGACGGGUGAGUAACACGUGGAUAACCUACCUAUAAGACUGGGAUAACUUCGGGAAACCGUAGCUAAUACCGGAUAAUAUUUUGAACCGCAUGGUUCAAAAGUGAAAGACGGUCUUGCUGUCACUUAUAGAUGGAUCCGCGCUGCAUUAGCUAGUUGGUAAGGUAACGGCUUACCAAGGCAACGAUGCAUAGCCGACCUGAGAGGGUGAUCGGCCACACUGGAACUGAGACACGGUCCAGACUCCUACGGGAGGCAGCAGUAGGGAAUCUUCCGCAAUGGGCGAAAGCCUGACGGAGCAACGCCGCGUGAGUGAUGAAGGUCUUCGGAUCGUAAAACUCUGUUAUUAGGGAAGAACAUAUGUGUAAGUAACUGUGCACAUCUUGACGGUACCUAAUCAGAAAGCCACGGCUAACUACGUG